rnacentral:rRNA from 1 species
GCCAGCAGCCAUAUCACCCUGCAGCUCAGCUCAUGACUGACAAUUCACUGAAGCCCAGCAGGUGUGAGCCUGGUCAGUACCUGGAUGGGAGACUCCUGGGAAAAACUAAGGUUGCUGCUGGAA